GGGUACUGGGGAUCGAUCAAAGCAGGGAACCAAGGGUGAAACCCUUGUUCACCAAAUUCAACCAAAUUGGGUAGAAAAUUAGAAGAUAAUCAACUGCAUGAACUCGAAUCUACACCUAUCUAAGCUCGAUUUUGAAAAGGUAAAACUCCACUUUAGGCGAAUUGGAGAUAUGGAGCGAGCACGUGUCCAUGCUUUAUUAUACCAAGCGCUUCCGCUAGAUAUAUGCACACUUUUUGGGUCCAUGUCUUGUUAAUUUGUUUAAUCUUGUUAGAAGUCAUACACUUAAAAACUUGUUGUCUUCGUUUUGGGAAGUUUAAAGUUAAUUGGGUCGUAGAUUGUCGUUAGUUUAAUAACUUAAAAACAGGGGACAUGCUCGUUUUACGAACGGGUCAUGCCCAAUUUUGGUAAGGAUUUCGUUAUGUAUUAAGUUUUUGGUA